rnacentral:rRNA from 1 species
GAUGAACGCUGGCGGCGUGCCUAAUACAUGCAAGUCGAGCGAACAGACGAGGCGCUUGCUCCUCUGACGUUAGCGGCGGACGGGUGAGUAACACGUGGAUAACCUACCUAUAAGACUGGGAUAACUUCGGGAAACCGGAGAUAAUACCGGAUCAUAUAUUGAACCGCAUGGUUCAAUAGUGAAAGACGGUUUUGCUGUCACUUAUAGAUGGAUCCGCGCCGCAUUAGCUAGUUGGUAAGGUAACGGCUUACCAAGGCAACGAUGCGUAGCCGACCUGAGAGGGUGAUCGGCCACACUGGAACUGAGACACGGUCCAGACUCCUACGGGAGGCAGCAGUAGGGAAUCUUCCGCAAUGGGCGAAAGCCUGACGCAGCAACGCCGCGUGAGUGAUGAAGGUCUUCGGAUCGUAAAACUCUGUUAUUAGGGAAGAACAAAUGUGUAAGUAACUAUGCACGUCUUGACGGUACCUAAUCAGAAAGCCACGGCUAACUACGUG